GACGGAGGGGGCUAGCGUUGUUCGGAAUGACUGGGCGUAAAGGGCGUGUAGGCUGUUGAUCAAGUCAGGCGUGAAAGCCUUGGGCUUAACCUGAGAAUUGCGUUUGAUACUGGUUGACUUGAGGACGGGAGAGGAAAGCGGAAUUCCGAGUGUAGAGGUGAAAUUCGUAGAUAUUCGGAGGAACACCAGAGGCGAAGGCGGCUUUCUGGCCCGUAUCUGACGCUGAGGCGCGAAAGCGUGGGGAGCAAACAGG
rnacentral:rRNA from 1 species